rnacentral:rRNA from 1 species
AUUGAACGCUGGCGGCAUGCUUUACACAUGCAAGUCGAGCGGUACAGGCCUUCGGGUGCUGACGAGUGGCGAACGGGUGAGUAAUGCAUCGGAACGUACCCAGAGGUGGGGGAUAACGCAGCGAAAGCUGUGCUAAUACCGCAUGUGAUCUGAGGAUGAAAGCGGGGGACCGAGCAGCAAUGUUUGGCCUCGCGCCUUUGGAGCGGCCGAUGUCGGAUUAGCUAGUUGGUGGGGUAAAGGCCUACCAAGGCGACGAUCCGUAGCUGGUCUGAGAGGACGACCAGCCACACUGGGACUGAGACACGGCCCAGACUCCUACGGGAGGCAGCAGUGGGGAAUUUUGGACAAUGGGCGCAAGCCUGAUCCAGCAAUGCCGCGUGCGGGAAGAAGGCCUUCGGGUUGUAAACCGCUUUUGGCAGGAACGAAACGGUGUCCGCUAAUACCGGGCGCUAAUGACGGUACCUGCAGAAUAAGCACCGGCUAACUACGUG